UUAGGAAUUUUGGGCAAUGGGCGAAAGCCUGACCCAGCAACGCCGCGUGAGUGAUGAAGGCCUUCGGGUCGUAAAGCUCUUUUCUGUGGGAAGAUAAUGACGGUACCACAGGAAUAAGCAUCGGCUAACUACGUGCCAGCAGCCGCGGUAAUACGUAGGAUGCAAGCGUUGUCCGGAUUUACUGGGCGUAAAGAGCGCGCAGGUGGUUUGAUAAGUUGGAUGUGAAAGCCCCUGGCUUAACUAGGGUAGGUCGUUCAAAACUAUCAGACUUUAGUGCAGCAGAGGAAAGUGGAAUUCCCGGUGUAGUGGUGAAAUGCGUAGAUAUCGGGAGGGACACCAGUGGCGAAAGCGGCUUUCUGGGCUGUAACUGACGCUGAGGCGCGAAAGCGUGGGGAGCGAACC
rnacentral:rRNA from 1 species